CCUACGGGAGGCAGCAGUGAGGAAUAUUGGUCAAUGGCCGCGAGGCUGAACCAGCCAAGUAGCGUGAAGGAUGACUGCCCUACGGGUUGUAAACUUCUUUUAUAAGGGAAUAAAGUGAGGCACGUGUGCCUUUUUGUAUGUACUUUAUGAAUAAGGAUCGGCUAACUCCGUGCCAGCAGCCGCGGUAAUACGGAGGAUCCGAGCGUUAUCCGGAUUUAUUGGGUUUAAAGGGUGCGUAGAUGGGUUGUUAAGUCAGUUGUGAAAUUUUGCGGCUCAACCCUAAAAUUGCAGUUGAGACUGGCAGCCUUGAGUGCAGUUGAGGUAGGCGGAAUGCGUGGUGUAGCGGUGAAAUGCAUAGAUAUCACGAAGAACUCCGAUUGCGAAGGCAGCCUACUAAACUGCAACUGACACUGAUGCUCGAAAGCGUGGGUAUCAAACAGGAUUAGAUACCCCUGUAGUC
rnacentral:rRNA from 1 species